rnacentral:tRNA from 3 species
GGCGGGGUUCAGCGGCGAUGCUUCGGGCUCAUAACCCGAAGGUCGCGGGUUCGAAUCCCGCCCCCGCUA